UACGUAGGGGGCUAGCGUUGUCCGGAAUCAUUGGGCGUAAAGCGCGUGUAGGCGGUCCGGUACGUCCGCUGUGAAAGUCGGGGGCUCAACCCUCGGAUGCCGGUGGAUACUGUCGGGCUUGAGUACGGAAGAGGCGAGUGGAAUUCCUGGUGUAGCGGUGAAAUGCGCAGAUAUCAGGAAGAACACCCGUGGCUAAGGCGGCUCUCUAGUACGGUACUGACGCUGAGACGCGAAAGCGUGGGGAGCGAACAGG
rnacentral:rRNA from 1 species